UUCAGUUUCCAUGCAUGCACAAAAAGUGCGGUUCUUGGGUUCCAUCGAUUAGGGUUUAUACAUAUAAGAGCUUUAAAGGAGGAGGAUGGGAUUUUCUCAACUACCUAGCUGCUGGUGCUAGUAUAUAGGUGGACCACAGACAAAGACAAACCAAGACCAUCACUACUUGCCAUACAUUUGGUAGCUAUGAUAUGAAGCAAGAGUCCUUUAGGUUUAGGGAGGAAGCUCUGCAUUUCCUUUCCCACCAUAUCAUAAAACCAAUGCCCAGUUUUUGGCCAUGAUAUCAGACCAACCACUCUCUGCCUGUCAUAAAUUUCCAACACACAUGGAUGGUGAUGGGUAAAGAUCACGUUGCUGCUAGGGUCCUGCAACAGUGCUUUGAAGUGUGAGAGAAGUUGUUGCAGGGUGAAAACUGCUUUUAUGGCUUUUGAGUUGUUGGGUCAGUCUCAGCAGAUUCUCAGGACCCGGAGCGGAUUAAAUGCAACUAGCUAACUGCAUGUAGCAGACUCCUCCCCCCACCCCCAAAAUAACUCUCUCUCUGGUAUCCAAUUGUGAUGACUGGCUUUACAUAUAUUAAUUUCAAUUUCGAUAAAA